CAGGAAGCUCUGGACAUGGAGCCACUGGCCCAGGAAGCUCUGUACAUGGAGCCACUGGCCCAGGAAGCUCUGGACAUGGAGCCACUGGCCCAGGAACCACUGGCCUGGAUGGAAGGCAGUGGGUGGAAGGCCUUGAGUACUAUACUUGGCACCUGCCUGCUAUGGACCUUGUGUCUUUUGAAGAUCACACUCAAGAGGCCUCCACAGAAAACCCAAGAAAGCUCUCCCUCAUAAGCCAAAGAAGAAAUGCAGCAAAGACUGUUAAUUCUCCUCUACUGUUGUCAUGUCUCCUUCGUCCCUGGAUAUACCCUCUACCGUCACUCAUGCAGUUUGUAUUUCAAAGACACAGUCACCAUUGGAGCAUCUCUUCCAGAUAAUGCUGACAACAAUGUUUUUAUAGAAAAACCAUUAGGGUAUGAUUCAAGCCCUUUAAAGGAGAAGUCCGCACCACUGAUACUGUCCCUAGGAGUGUUCAGCAGUGAUCAUAGGAGAUGUCACCCUGUCCGCUAGCUGAAGUAAAUAGAAUGCAGGGCACACAUGGUACCCUGAAUUUGGCAUCCACAAUGCCAUAUAUGUUCCAUGAGGAGUUUCUAAUAUAGUAUCUGGCAGUGUAUUAGGAUUCAUUUAUUGGGGAUGUGUUUCAUCACUAAGACCACUGCAAAAAACAUAAUGUUUGAAUUGUACCUGGUGCAAUUAGAUUUAAGCAUUUGUCGUUUGUUCUUCUGCAGAUCUUAAUUCCAAUAACAA
ensembl:lncRNA